rnacentral:lncRNA from 1 species
UCCUCUUGCAUACUGGAAUAUGUUUAUUUGUUAGAAUUUGAAGCAUAGCAUAAUGCAGGCAAAAUUACUGAUUGGUAUCUUCCUUUAAGUUGCCCAGUAAUGCAUCGACCAGUGGUCAUAUAAAACCAUGAAAGCACCUCUCUUCCUCCUCUAUAUUAUUUGUGGAUGAAGUUUCCAAUGAUGGAGGGAACAUGACCUUGGUAGUCAUGUGCGUGAAUGGGCACGAGGUUUACAUGAUGGAUAUUUGACAGAAUUAUUUUUUGUUGUAAUGGUUCAAACUGGUGUGAACAUAGUCACAAAUUUGGCAACUGGGAAUAGUUUGGCAUGGUUAAAAACUUCAGAAUUUGGAAAAAAUUAGGUGCAUUCGGAAGAAGUUUGGAAAAAUUUGGAAAAUUAAAAAUAAAUAAUAAAAUAGUCAAAUCAAAAUUCUUAUAUAUAAAAAUGGUAGUACAUAUAUUCAUGAUUGCCAAUGUUAUUUCAUAAGAAAUUUUAGUUGGCUAAUUUUCAACCCAAUCAAGAGGAAAGAUUCACAACAAGAAAGAAAAAGGCUUUCUGGGAUUGGUAUCAAGGGAAAGACUUAAUGUUCCGAGCCACUUGCAGUUCAGAAAAAUUAUUGGAAUAUGUAAAAGAGAACUAAAAAUUUUGAAGAUCUAGAGUGAGGAAGGCAGAAAAAUUGUCCAGAAGG